rnacentral:lncRNA from 1 species
UUGUAUUGGUAUUCUGCUACACAAUUAUUUUUUAUUACUCAUACAAUCUUCAUACAUCAAAAAACAAGAAAUAACCUUAUUUGUAUCCAAGAUAGUGAUCGUGCACUUAGUUGAAUCCAUUUUAGAAAUAACACUGUUAUGAAAUGGCUGAGCCUAAUGGUUCAGGUAAAUAUUUAUUUGUGAUAUAUACCAUUUUCUAGCGUUUUAAUAGCUCCUGAAUAUAAAUGUUGUUUAGUUAUUGCCUCUUUAUGUAAGGUCUUUUCAUUUCUCCUUGAGCCAAGUUAAGGUCAAAUUCUGAAUGGUACCUGAUUUUAAAAUAAUUUCUGAUUAGUGCUCACCUAAUCCAAUUAUCUAUAAUAAAUGUUUGCCAGGUUUUUCUAUAAAGGGACAUUGUCUUUUCAGGCUUAUGGUUUCUGAUAUAACUAGUUGGCUCUGCUGUUGUAGCAGAAAUGCAGCUAUAAUUUGCAUUCCAAUAAAACUUUGUUAAUGGACACUGAAAAUUGAAUUUUAUAUAAUUUUUCACAUGCCAUAAAAUAUUAUUAUUUUAACCCAUAUAAACAAUAUAUAAAUAGUGGGCAGGAUUUGGUGAGCAGUACUUGCCCCUCUGUUAAUAUAGCUCUGGUUUUUUUUUAUUUUUUUAUUUUUUUGCAGGGGUUGUUGUUUCAUUUUGCUUUGUUUGUUUUAUUAAUGUGUAUAGCAGCUUUAUUUGUAAUAGCAAAAAACUUGAAGCAACUCAAACUUUCAUCAACAGAAAUAUGGAUAAACACACUGUGGUAUAUCCAUAUAAUUGAAUACUUAACUCACCAAUAAAAAUGAAUAAACUAUUGAUGCGUGUAACAACGUGAAUGAAUCUCAAAAUAAUUACAUGCAGUAGUAGAUACUGUAUAUAAAUCUUAGAAAAUAUGAAUUGCAGUGACAGAGAACAAAGAGGUGGUUUUAAACACACAGACAUUUCCAGGGACUACAGCCCCCUGGAUCAAUGCAGAUAAGCAGUUAAAAAGCACACUCCCCAGUUAAUUUCUGGAAGGGGUUUGUCUGUAUACUUCUCUAGCCAUUGUUUGAGGAUUGGGCUCCUCUCUAGGCUGCAUCUAGUAGCCAAUGGGCAAAGAAACAGCAGAACCCUGGGAUACUGACUGUGAGUUCCAGCGUUUCCUGAGUUUUUUCAUCUGGCUUGCUCCAGCAAUAAAGCUAGAGCAGAUUAUCUCUGUAGAUUAUCCUUGGAAGGAGUUUAUUCAUGGAUUGAUCACAGCUGCCACUGCUCCCUCCCAAGGGAUAGCCGCCUUAACCUUAUAGUUCUGGGAAUUGAUGGGACACUGAAUUUCUGAGUCUCUAGACCACUGAAAACAAAUAAAUGGGCAUUCAGUGGGCCCACUUUUUUCCCCCAAGAUGAGAUAAUGCAGUCUGAUCUAAAAUAUAGACGUUUGCUAGAAUUCCUCUCUUCAGCGUAGUGCAGAGAGAAUCCUACUGUCAGCUUCACCACGAGGAUAGAAGGAACUGGAACACACUUAACACUUCAACCUUUCUAGCUGUGUCUAGGGGGAAUGACUUCUCUCUCAAAUGUUUUGAGGUACUAACGGAACUUGGCACAUCCUAAUUUCCUGGAGACAACAAAAAACAAAGGCAGCAGUUUGGACAAACACAAAGGUUUGAGAGGUACCCUAGAAUUUCUGGCCAGACUGACUGGUUAGGUUCUUCUACAC